rnacentral:rRNA from 1 species
GAUUUCUGGUAUGAUGUAUCUGUCCCGCCACGGUUAACGUGUGUGAGUGACGGUAUAUGUCUGCCAUCCUUCUAGAGGAAAUAUAGUGUUGGCCUUUACUGGUUCGAUAUUAUAUAUUAAUCUAGAUCUUUUACUUUGAAAAAAUUAGAGUGUUUAAAGCAGGCUUUUGCUAUGAAUACAUUAGCAUGGAAUAAUAAUCUAGGACUUCGGUUCUAUUUUGUUGGUUUCUAUAACUGAAGUAAUGAUUGAUAGGGAUAGUUGGGGGUGCUAGUAUUGGCCGGCCAGAGGUGAAAUUCUUGGAUUCGGUCAAGACUAACUUAUGCGAAAGCAUU